AGGAAAUGCUUUUGGAAGAAAAAACAUUUAAGCACUGGAUGAUACUGUGGGACAUCAGAUAGUUUUACAGUAUUUUUAUACCUUCUGCAGCAUCUAGCAGCAUUACCUUGGGGAAGCUGAGAUGACUGUGUAAAUUGAAACAAAAUCUGAUUUGGAUCUUCAGGAAUUUUGGACAAAUUCUGUCAAGAAGCAGAAAUGGCAUACAAGCUGUGAGAAGUACUUGUACCCCCUUCACCAAAAUAUGCUCCUAAUGUGAAAAGAAUUUGAAGGCAGUUACUUGUGAGCUGGUUGGGUCAACCCAGAGAUCAGGUCAUCAGGCAAACUUGUGGUUAUAGAGACAGGCUGAGUCACCUUCCACUUUUCUCUUUGUUUUUGCCGGAAAUGUCAGUUCUUAAGAGCCCUG